GGCUGCCAGGAGAUGAAAGGCAAGCCUGGGCAUGCAGUGGAGCAGCAAACCACUCCUAACGUCACCAGAUCCACACAUCGGAAGUCCUCCUCAUUGCCAGAGUGCGACUGGAGGGCAAUAAAUCAGUUGUGGUUAGACUAAAAGACAUAGCUUCGCCAGCCAUCCUCACUUGGUGCUUUACGCAAAGCUUCCCUUAGUUUGAAGCUUUGAGCCUUGCAGAUCAUCAGCAGAUGAGCACGGGGCUGGGUUUGCCACAGCUCUCCACAUUCCCUGCUUGGUCCUGAGCAACUUCAGCCACUGGCAAUGACAUCACCCCAGCUGGGACCCGGGGAUCCGGCCCCGUGGGGGUCUCUGGCACAGCGAGUCUGAACCGCAUCCAAGUUUGUGACAGGCAGAGCCGUCCUUUCUCAAAUAAUAGCCAAAAUAUAAUGGAUUGUUUCGUCA